CGAUGAACAGUAGGGUUGGGGAAGAAAGGUAGAGAGAAGGAGGAGCUUCUCUCUCUAGGCCUCCAUUUCCAUCUUGUUCCAAUGCCAAAUGACUUAUACAGAUAUUAUUAACCUAUAUAAUUGAGUUAAUAAAAUAAAAUUUUAAAAAACACGAGCUCUUGAAAUGAUGAAUAUUGUUAGUAUAAAAUUAACUUAAUAAGAAAAAUUACGUACAACACAUAACUUAUUCUAAUGUCGUAUCAUGAUUUUGAAAUAUGCAUUGUGCAUUUGCUUUAGUUGCUCAACAUGGCAGACUAAUAUGCUAACUCGUACUCAAAUAUAUCUUGUAACAAUGUUGUAUUCUUCAUGGCCUUAAAAAAUAAAUUCUAUUUGCUCAAAUACAUAAUAUAAUUUUCAGCUUGUUCCUUACUGAAAAUGAAGAUGAAAAUAAAACAUACAAAAAAUAAAUAAAAAAAGGCUCCAUAUUAUUAGGUUUAACUAUCAUACGAACAAUUCAAUCACAUGGAUAUUGUUUAAAUCCAAUGUGAUGAUCCAAAAGGUCAUCACUUGCUUUUAAACUAUAUUCUAUGUCUUCGGGGUCUUGAAACCUCAUUUAAAUUAUCUCGAUUUGCAUGCACAGUUCGAGCGCGUAACCGAAAAGCUUAAAUACGAAUGAAAAAUGAUAAAAUUUGGUUAUAAAAUGAGUUAAUUUGACUUCGGUCAACGUUUUGGGUAAACGUAUCCGGACCCGUGAUUUGACGGUUCCGGAGAGUCCGUAGAAAAAUAUGGUACUUGGGCGUACGCCCGAAAUUGAAUUCCGAGAUCCCAAGCCCGAAAAAUAAAUUUUUAAAAAAACUAUUUUCUAAAAUUGUUUAAGAAUAUUUGAAAUGCAAUCUACUUAAAACGUGAUGGUAUUGGACCUGUAUUUUGGUUCCGGCAUCCGGUACAGGUCUUAUGUAUGAUUUGAGAUAUUUUUAUAAAAUUGAUGAAAACGGACGUCGUUUGACGUGAUUCAGACCUAAAUUGCUAAAGUUUAUGUUUUAUGAAAUUUUGAGAAAUAUUCUUUUAUUUUGAGAUUUGAUUCAUUGUUAUUGAGGUUAUUUGGCGAUUUGAACGCACGGAUAAGUUCGUAUGAUGUUGCUGAAUUAGUACGUAUGUUUUAGGAGCCUCGCGGGCUCGGGUGUGUUUUGGAUGUGUUUCGGGAAGUUUUUGACUUAGAAAAUGUUGCAGGUAUUCAGCUGUUGGGUUUCUGAUGCCUCCUUCUUCGCUUUCGCGGAAGUACCAACUUGUAAAUUUUGAUGAAGGGAAAUCCUUCUACGCGAACGCGUAGCUCAGAUUGUGAGCGCGAGGCAGUGGGGGUUAUACCUUCGCGAACGCGAGGCGGUGGGGGUUUAUACCUUCGCGAAUGCGAUCCUGGCCACGCGAACGCGAAGGCCAAGUGGGCCUUGGCAAGGGGUGGGGUAGUUGUCUUACGCGAAUGUGACACGUUAGAUAUGAACGCGACCCGUUAGAUGCGAACGUGAGGGCUCGAGGGGUUAAAGCUCCGCGAACACGAUCCCAUUUACGCGAGCGCGAAGGCUUAUCCAGCCUGACCCAUCGCAAACGGAAAGGGUCUGUCGCGAACGCAAAGGGCAUUUUUGCCCAGUGAUUUAUAAAAGACCAAAAAUAGAACACUUUUGGAAUUUUAUAAAAAUUUCAUAAACUUCUUCUUCUCCAAUGCUCUUAGAUUAUUUUUGAAGUAAUUCUUCACCAUAAUCUCUGUCACACCUCCUUUUUUACUACACCCGCAAAGGCGUAAAGGAGUUUUUCCACUUAAAGGACAAUCGGAACGGAAUUUAAUUAUUAAAGUUCAGAGUUGCCACUUGGGAGAUUAAUGGUGUCCCAAGUCGCCAGUUGAAUCCCGAACCGAGGAAAAAUAUGACUCUGCUAACAGUCCACGAACCAGAAAUUCGAGUAAGGAAUUCUAUUAACUCAGAAGAAGAUGUUAGGCAUUCCCGGGUUUCGUGGUUCUAGCAAGGUCGCUCAAUUAUCAUAUUUGGAUUUAUCUGAUUUCAAAACAUAUUUAUGCUUAAGUGUUUUUAUAAUUUUAUACCGCUUUUAUUAUUAUUAUUUUAACGAGAAUUGUAACGUCGUGAAAACGUGUCUCGAACCACGUCACAUCAAUGCACCCAUGGUCGUUGACAUAUUUCGACUUUGUUGAUAUUUGAAUUUGGAUCACAUAAAUGUGCACCCGAAUUUAGCAAGAUAAUGUUAUUAAAAUACGAGCCUAAAUAGACUAACGCAUUAUUAUCUUUGGGGAGGACCGUGAAAUUCGCUAAACGACUCAUCCCGAAGUCUAAGUAUUUUAAUACAACCAUUUAUUAAGGGCCCCGCAAAUUACCCAUUUUAUUUAACUAGUCUCAUCUCGUUUUUAUUCUUUAAAAGGCAUCCUAAAGCAACUGUGAUUUCUAUUUAAUCAUCUCUAAAAAUCGAGUUUUCUACGCAUUUAUGCUUCCCUCAACCAAACGUCCGUUUUCUCCUUACUGCCUUUAAUUCAAGGCGCAAAAUUCAUCAUUUCAAUUAAGUAGACCAAUCUCAUCCAACUCUCAAGCAAACAAUGACAAACCAUAACUGAUCAAACUUAUAUUUAAAUGAAGCUCAAAACCAAACUUAAAACUUAUAUUUAAUGAAGCUCAAAACCAAACUUAACAUAUAAGACAAUAAUUUGACAAACGAGUUUGACAUUAUCUACAUCGACCAACUUUCCAAAUUUCCCGAGCCAAAAUAUGGACAGAGUAAUCUGUCAACCGCUGGUACUCAUACAAAUCGAAUAAAACAUAACUCAGAAUAACAAAUCCUUGAAAGUAGACAACCAAAAUAUGAUAUCCGAACCCAGAUAGAAAUUUGUUGAAAAAAUGCAAUGAAAUAGUAGUUAAAAAAAGUGAACCUUUUAGGGAUGAAGAUCUUCUAUUGAUGAAAAAUUCCAACGUUUACAACGAUGCCGAGAUCCAAAUUAAUGUAGGAAAACAAACGUGACCAAGGACUCGGGCGAUGAACCUUCAACAACGAGUUAUCAGACUGAACCUCUCGACCGGAACUCAACGGAUCUCCAGCUCGCCAGAAAUUUGGUGACGAACAGAAGGUGUACGGUUGUUCUUCAGCAAAUGAUCUCGCGGGUGAGGAUCUGAUGGCUCAGGUCUCGUGUGCUCAAGAGGCAGCAGCGACUUAAGGGGGAAGUAUUUUAUGGGGAAAUAAUUUUGGGGGAGGUCCCAUAUGGGGAUAAGUGUUUUGGGACAAAAUAUUUU
rnacentral:lncRNA from 1 species